GACGAACGCUGGCGGCGUGCCUAAUACAUGCAAGUCGAACGAAGCUGUUUUAACUGGUGCUUGCACCGACUUAAACAACUGAGUGGCGAACGGGUGAGUAACACGUGGGUAACCUGCCCCAAAGCGGGGGAUAACAUUUGGAAACAGAUGCUAAUACCGCAUAACCACAGAAACCACAUGGUUUCUGUGUCAAAGAUGGUUUCGGCUAUCACUUUGGGAUGGACCCGCGGCGUAUUAGCUAGUUGGUAAGGUAAUGGCUUAACAAGGCAAUGAUACGCAGCCGAACUGAGAGGUUGAUCGGCCACAUUGGGACUGAGACACGGCCCAAACUCCUACGGGAGGCAGCAGUAGGGAAUCUUCCACAAUGGACGAAAGUCUGAUGGAGCAACGCCGCGUGAGUGAAGAAGGUUUUCGGAUCGUAAAACUCUGUUGUCAGAGAAGAACGUGUGCGAGAGUAACUGCUCGUGCAGUGACGGUAUCUGGCCAGAAAGCCACGGCUAACUACGUGCCAGCCGCCGCGGUAA
rnacentral:rRNA from 1 species